ACAACUCCAGUUUCCAAGAUGGCGACACCCAUAAUUGAAACAUGCCAUGUUGCUUGUUGUGCAAACAGGACUCCAAACGUUGUUUCUUGGGGUCGCGGGGGGACCAUUGCCUUUGGGACAUGCACCGCAGUGGCUCUGUACGACCCGCAGGAGAGAAGAGUUGUCGCUGUGCUGAAUGGACACAAGGGACGAGUGAAUACAGUCAAGUGGGUUCACAGAGAGGACUGUGCUCCAGAAAGUCAUCUCGUCUCUGGAGGCUCAGACAAUCGGAUCAUCGUCUGGGAAGCUCAAAAUGGGAGGUUCAUCCAGUCAGUGGAGUGCAAAGGUCACACUGGUGCAGUUUGCGCUUUGGAUGCCAUCUACGUGGAGGACUCAAAGAUCCUGGUGGCCUCUGCAGCAUCCGACUCCACAGUCAAACUGUGGCUCUGCAAUGACGCCAAAGAAGCUGAGUGCCUCCAUACCUUAUCAUUCGGCAGCAGUUUCAUGAUGGAUGUCUCUCUGGCACUGUUGCCAGGCAGCAGAGUUCCCAUACUGGCCUGUGGGGGGGAUAACUCUCAAGUGCAUCUGCAUGUGCACUCUAAUGGAGAGCUCCAGAAAGCCAUGUCACUGCAAGGACAUGAAGACUGGGUUCGAGGACUAGCCUGGGCAUCUCUAGGUGGGGAGCUGUUAUUAGCCAGCUGUUCCCAGGACUGCCUCAUCAGAGUGUGGAGGCUGUGUGCCAAGUCUGGGACAGACGCCCGCAUAGAGGACGAUCACACCAUCAUCAAAAUGAAAGAGGAUGUUUUUGAAGUGAAGGAGAAAGACGUGUCCUCAGUGUUUGCUGUGUCUCUUGAGACGGUCCUGGCAGGCCACGAGAACUGGGUCUAUGGAGUCCACUGGCAGCCUCCUCUCUACAAAGGUGGUGAGCUGCAACAGCCCCUCAGCCUGCUCUCUGCCUCCAUGGACAAAACCAUGAUCCUCUGGUCUCCUGAGGAGGGAUCUGGAGUCUGGGUUGAGCAGGUGCGUGUAGGAGAGGUUGGUGGCAACACUCUGGGUUUCUACGGUUGCCAGAUGAGUCCUGAUGGCUCCAUGAUUGUGGCUCACGCUUUUCAUGGGGCACUUCAUCUCUGGUGCAAAGACCAAGACAAAGAGGGAGAGUGGAGGCCAGGGGUUGUGAUAUCGGGCCACUUUAAUGCGGUCCAGGACCUGAGCUGGGAUCCUGAGGGUGAAUUCAUCAUCAGCGUGGGCUCGGACCAGACGACCAGACUCUUCACUCCAUGGAGGAAACAAGAUGCCAAACAGGCAACCUGGCAUGAAAUCUCACGGCCGCAGAUCCAUGGAUACGACAUGCAGUGCCUGGCAAUGGUUGGAAGGUUUCAGUUUGUAUCAGGAGCUGAUGAGAAAGUCCUACGGGUGUUUCAAGCACCUCGUAAUUUUGUUGAGAACUUUGCUAGCAUCUCGGGGACCUCAAGAGAAAAGCUGUUGACAUCUAGUGACUCUGCCAACCUUCCAGAAGGAGCCAGCACACCUGCCUUGGGUCUGUCCAACAAGGCUGUAUUUCAAGGUGACCUUGCCCCAAAAACCAAUGAAGAAGAGGGACAGUUCAGCAGUGUUUCUGAUCAAUACCAGGAGUCUUACUUCCACCCUCUAAUCAUGACUGAGCCCCCACCAGAGGAUCAUCUUCUCCAGAACACGCUGUGGCCUGAGGUCCAGAAACUGUACGGACAUGGCUUUGAGAUGUUCUGUCUUGCUUCAGACAGCGCCAGGGCAUUGGUGGCGUCUGCAUGCAAGGCAUCUAAAGCAGAGCAUGCAGCAAUUCUGUUGUGGAGUACAGCUACAUGGCGUCAACUGCAGACACUGCCAUGCCACACCCUUACCGUCACCCAGAUGGCCUUCUCCCCUGAUGCACAACUCCUAUUGGCUGUUUCUCGUGAUCGCACCUGGUCUCUAUGGAGACGGGAUCUGCCCACACCUGAAAGUCCAGAGCCGCAGUUCUCACUGUACGCACACACGGGGAAGGGCAAAGCCAUACACAGCCGAAUCAUCUGGUCAUGUGACUGGAGCCCAGACAGCAAAUACUUUGUGACCUCCAGUCGGGACAAGAAGGUAAUAGUGUGGGGACCAUGCAGGUUAGAGGAAUGUGGAGACACGAUGCUUCCUCCUGAGAUCAAACCAUGUUCUUCCAUCCUGGAUGUGGGUGAUUCAGCUACCGCUGUGGCUUUCUGCCCCGUACUCUGCUCUGAUAACAGCUACCUGCUUGCCGUGGGCCUGGAGUGCGGCAGGAUCUUGUUGUACAGGUGGAGCCCUAGCCAGGAGCCUGCUGGAGGACAUGACUGGAGCAGCUGUGGAGAAACGGACAUCUCACAAAGCCAUGCUUUGACAGUCAAGAGGCUCCGCUGGAGGCCCAGGACUGGCCGAGUAGGCCGAGAGAACAUCAAGAUGGAUGGACAGACUGACGGAGAGAGUGAAGUCGAGGAAGAGAGCUCCUGGGUCCAGCUUGCCAGCGCCAGCGCCGACCACUCUGUCAAAAUCUUCAACAUCAACAAACGGGCUCUUUAGCACCACCAACAGUGACACUAUUAUGUCUCUCACACGCAGAGAGACACUUGGACUGAGGGCCACAGGCCUGACUGCGGCACAAAGGCCACAGCUGCUCGCUGGCAAGCCGUUCACUUCCUGUGACAGCCAGUUAAGUCAUGGGUCAGUCACAGGACAAACCCUCAGCACACAUGGCCCGCAGUCUGUCUACACACAGCUGAACAGAUUUGAUGGGUGGAGGCAAGAUGGUGAAAACACCAUGGCCCAGGGGUGGUAUUUUGCUUAGACACUUCAAAGUGCUUUAGAUUCAGAGAAGACGACGCUGCUGGAUAUCUAUACAGAUCACAUAUUUAGACUGGAUAGUAAAAAAAUAUUUAUAUGGUGAACGGAGGCUUUUCAGUAACAAAUCAAGGAAGUUAAUCUCACAGAUGUAUGAUGUUUAUUUGUUUUAUGAAAGAUUAAUUAAAUGUCUUUUGUAUCCAAAAUUUGACUGUCUAUGGUCUAAUAAUGGAGGUCAAGUGAUGUGAAAUCACAAAACUCUUAAAUACAAGAAGGUGCAAGAAUGCAAAACAUUAACAGUGUGAAGCAGAGCCAUAAUGUAAGGGAAUACUUCACCUACAAAAUGAAAAUCAAAUGACUGAAUAUCAACUACUCACCGCGUUAACUUGAAUUAGAAGAAAACUUGUUUUUCUUGGAAGACUCAAAGGUGAACAAAGAGUCCAAAACCAAAAAAGUCUUGAUGAAUAGAAGUUAUUGGGCUCCGCCUUUAACAACAGCCAAAGUAAAACAAAACAUCCAUUUAAAAACUCACACAACUUGUGAAUUAUAAUUGAAGUCUCAUUUAUCCAGUCGUAUGCUCAGUACUUCCCAAACACAUGCAUUUUUGUUAAAACCUUAGAAUUUAAAACACCUCAGCAUAAACAGUCACAGGCACCAAUGAGAAGCCCACCCAGGCUAGCACAUGCAUUUCAACUCUCCUUGCCCACUUGUACGCUGAAGUGUUUUAAAUUCUAAGGUUUUAGCAAAAAAUGCUCAUUUCACCUGGUAGAAGUAUUUCUCCAAAGGACCAUACAUCACCUGUGUCUUAACAUGUUUUAGCCUAAUCACUAAAUACUUAAUAUACAUUACAGCUAACUAAUUUUGCAAAACAGAUGGUGAGACUUCAUGUAACCAUCAUAAAUAAAAGGUGAAUUGCUACUUUUGGAACUUAAACCUUGGAACUUGAAAACACGUGACUUGGAGUGAUGGAUCACCAAUCUUUAAAUCUCCACGGUUCUGUUAUAUUGAAUGGAAAUGAAUAGGAACCAGAUAGACUAGUAAAUCGACAUUGAGUCAAUUUUAUUUAUAUAGCACUGUAAAGCCCCUAUGGUGUCAUCAUGAGGAUUUCUGGUAGGAGGAGGGGUGUCUAUCCUGUGCUUCCCAUGCAGCUCCACUGAUUAGUAACUCAGCACACCUGGACCCAGUGUGCUGAAGUUACUUAAGCUCCUGCAGACAGCCAGCCAGCUCUCUGCCCUGGCUGACUCCACAGGCACGCCUUGGUUUUUCCUUUGCCAGCAUAAUAAGGAAAGCCCACCAACGCCUGUACUUUUCGAGGAGGCUGAAGCAGGCUGGUCUCAGCGCUGGUGUCCUGACCUCCUUUAACCAGUGUGUGAUGGAGAGCGCACUGACAUCCUCCAUCACUGUCUGGUAUGGGAUCUGCUCAGUGGCCGACAGGAAGGCGCUGCAGAGAGUGGUUAAUUCUGCUCAAAAAAUCAUCAACAGCAGCCUCCUCUCCUUGGAGGACAUUUAUGUCAGCAGGUGCAGAAGCAGAGCUUCAUGUAUCAGAAAGGACAUCACCCACCCAGCACACGAACUGUUGAUGCCCCUCCCCUCAGGCAGAAGACUGCACAGCUUCAAAGUAAGAACAACAAGGCUAAAGUGCAGCUUCUUCCCAGAGGCUGUGAGACUCAUGAACUCCUGACCUAAAGUCUGUCUACUGCACUUUGAUUCACUGCUGCU